rnacentral:rRNA from 1 species
AACGAACGCUGGCGGCAGGCUUAACACAUGCAAGUCGAACGCCCCGCAAGGGGAGUGGCAGACGGGUGAGUAACGCGUGGGAACGUGCCCUUCGCUUCGGAAUAGCCCCGGGAAACUGGGAGUAAUACCGAAUACGCCGUAUUGGGAAAGAUUUAUCGGCGAGGGAUCGGCCCGCGUUAGAUUAGCUAGUUGGCGGUGUAAUGGACCACCAAGGCUACGAUCUAUAGCUGGUCUGAGAGGAUGAUCAGCCACACUGGGACUGAGACACGGCCCAGACUCCUACGGGAGGCAGCAGUGGGGAAUCUUGGGCAAUGGGCGCAAGCCUGAUCCAGCCAUGCCGCGUGAGUGAAGAAGGCCUUAGGGUUGUAAAACUCUUUCGCCGGAGAAGAUAAUGACGGUAUCCGGAGAAGAAGCCCCGGCUAACUUCGUGCCAGCCGCCGCCGUAAAAC